rnacentral:miRNA from 1 species
UCACAACCUCCAUGAACGAGGGU